UAUGACCUCCCAGUAUUUUAUCCGAACAAUAUGUGACUGCAAUUUAUGAUCAUAGGCACAGCUUCUAAUUUUAGUAUGGAAAACUGAAAAAUAGAUCGGUCCACUCCAAAAGAAGAAGUUUUAUUAUUUUAUUAUUUUUACAUUGACUUUGGAUUCCAGCGAACUUUCUCCGCCCAAAUCGCACCAGAAAAUAUAAGCCACACAACAAAACAAACAAACAAACAUUUCCGAUCCGAAAAAAGUUAGAUCGUUGACCAUGAACUCCGGCACAUCCGACGGAGAAUUGGCGGCGCCUGGGUCGAGCGGGAGGGUGAGCUCUACAUCGUCAGCAGACAAAAAAAAGGAGAAGGCAAGAGUGAGCCGCACGUCGAUGAUACUGUGGCAUGCUCACCAAAACGACGCCGGCGCUGUCCGCAAGCUUCUCGAGGAAGAUCGGGCUUUGGUCAACGCUAGAGAUUACGACAGCCGUACGCCUCUCCACGUUGCUUCGCUCCAUGGCUGGAUCGACGUCGCCAAGUGCCUCCUUGAAUAUGGUGCCGAUGUCAACGCCCAAGAUCGCUGGAAGAAUACGCCUUUAGCUGAUGCAGAAGGAGCUAAAAAACAUAAUAUGAUUGAACUAUUGAAGUCAAAUGGUGGAUUAUCUUACGGCCAAAGUGGAAGCCACUUUGAACCAAAGCCGGUUCUGCCCCCUCUACCAAACAAGUGUGACUGGGAAGUUGACCCUUCUGAGCUGGACUUCUCUAGUUCAAAUAUCAUAGGAAAGGGGUCAUUUGGUGAGAUUUUAAAAGCCAGUUGGCGGGGAACACCUGUAGCUGUCAAACGCAUCCUUCCAUCACUUUCAGAUGAUAGAUUGGUCAUUCAGGAUUUCCGGCAUGAAGUGAAUUUGCUUGUAAAGCUCCGCCAUCCUAAUAUAGUUCAAUUCCUUGGAGCUGUCACUGACAAGAAGCCCCUUAUGUUAAUUACUGAGUAUUUAAAAGGGGGUGAUCUUCACCAGUAUCUCAAGGAAAAGGGUUCGCUUAGUGCAUCAACAGCCGUCAGCUUUGCAUUGGACAUUGCGAGGGGUAUGGCUUAUCUUCACAAUGAGCCAAAUGUUAUAAUUCAUCGAGAUCUAAAACCAAGGAAUGUGCUUUUGGUCAACUCCAGUGCUGAUCAUUUGAAAGUUGGAGACUUUGGACUGAGCAAACUCAUCAAGGUUCAAAAUUGUCAUGAUGUCUACAAAAUGACUGGGGAAACAGGGAGUUAUCGUUAUAUGGCACCUGAAGUUUUCAAGCACCGGAAAUAUGAUAAAAAAGUGGAUGUUUUCUCUUUCGCAAUGAUACUUUAUGAGAUGCUUGAAGGAGAACCACCAUUCUCGAAUUAUGAACCUUAUGAAGCAGCUAAGUAUGUUGCAGCAGGACACCGACCUUCUUUUCGUUCAAAAUCAUACCUCCCUGAACUCAGAGACUUAACAGACAAUUGUUGGGCUGCCGAUAUGAAUCAAAGACCUUCUUUCUUGGAUAUUCUCAAGAGGCUUGAAAAGAUGUAGGAAAAAAAUGUAUCCUCAGAUCAUUGUUUGAGUAUAUACAAUACAUAGUAUUCAAGAUUUGAUGUAACUGAUGAUAAACCUUCCGUUUCUACCAAUCACCUCCAAGCUCCCCCAUUUGUGCCGAUGGAUGGUACUGUAAAUAGACUCAGUAUGCUUUUUGAAUCAUGGCUUGUUUCAUGGUAGCUGUUGCUCAUUUCCUGUUGUCGGACUUUACAAUUCUUAUCUGUCAGCAUUUGUAUUAUAUUGUUGUCAUGACCAGGUUUAAGAUAUUUUAUAUUUAUGUAAUUUUAACAUGUUAAUAUCUCUAUUAUAUAAUUUUAAUUAUUUUUCA